rnacentral:rRNA from 1 species
UACGGGGGGGCAAGCGUUGUUCGGAAUUACUGGGCGUAAAGGGCUCGUAGGCGGCCAACUAAGUCAGACGUGAAAUCCCCAGGCUCAACCUGGGAACUGCGUCUGAUACUGGAUGGCUUGAAUUCGGGAGAGGGAUGCAGAAUUCCAGGUGUAGCGGUGAAAUGCGUAGAUAUCUGGAGGAAUACCGGUGGCGAAGGCGGCAUCCUGGACCGACAUUGACGCUGAUGAGCGAAAGCUAGGGGAGCAAACGGGG